rnacentral:rRNA from 1 species
AUUGAACGCUGGCGGCAUGCUUUACACAUGCAAGUCGAACGGUAAGGCCCUUCGGGGUACACGAGUGGCGAACGGGUGAGUAACACGUGGGUGAUCUGCCCUGCACUUUGGGAUAAGCCUGGGAAACUGGGUCUAAUACCGAAUACACCCUGCUGGCUGCAUGGCCUGGUGGGGGGAAGCUUUUGCGGUGUGGGAUGGGCCCGUGGCCGAUCAGCUUGGUGGUGGGGUGAUGGCCUACCAAGGCGACGACGGGUAGCCGGCCUGAGAGGGUGACCGGCCACACUGGGACUGAGAUACGGCCCAGACUCCUACGGGAGGCAGCAGUGGGGAAUAUUGCACAAUGGGCGCAAGCCUGAUGCAGCGACGCCGCGUGGGGGAUGACGGCCUUCGGGUUGUAAACCUCUUUCAGUAGGGACGAAGCGCAAGUGGCGGUACCUACAGAAGAAGGACCGGCCAACUACGUGCCAGCAGCCGCAGUAA